rnacentral:sRNA from 1 species
CCGAACUGUUGACACGAGUUGUUGCUGGUCCUCAAGCGGGGGCAUGUGCACGCUCUGUCUACGUAUCCACUCACACCAGUGCACCCUCUGUAGUUCUGCGGUCUGGGGGACGCUGUCUCCCGGCUUUAGUUCUACGUUUUCACACACACGCUGUAACGAAGUCUUACGGAACGAAUGCCGCGUUUAACGCAAUACAAUACAACUUUCAGCAACGGAUCUCUUGGCUCUCGCAUCGAUGAAGAACGCAGCGAAAUGCGAUAAGUAAUGUGAAUUGCAGAAUUCAGUGAAUCAUCGAAUCUUUGAACGCACCUUGCGCCCUUUGGUAUUCCAAAGGGCAUGCCUGUUUGAGUAUCAUGAACACCUCAACUCUCAUGGUUUUCCGUGAUGAGCUUGGACUUUGGAGGCUUUGCUGGCCCCUACGGGUUGGCUCCUCUCAAAUGGAUCAGCUUGCCAGCGUUUGGUGGCAUCGCAGGUGUGAUAACUAUCUACGCUUGUGGUUUUCCACCAGGUAACCUCCAGCGAUGGAGGUUCGCUGGAGCUCAUAAACGUCUCUCCCUGGCAGAGACAGCUUUGAACG